UUCCAGACUCCUACGGGAGGCAGCAGUGAGGAAUAUUGGUCAAUGGCCGAGAGGCUGAACCAGCCAAGUCGCGUGAGGGAUGACGGCCCUACGGGUUGUAAACCUCUUUUGUCGGGGAGCAAAGAGAGUCACGUGUGGCUCAUUGAGAGUACCCGAAGAAAAAGCAUCGGCUAACUCCGUGCCAGCAGCCGCGGUAAUACGGAGGAUGCGAGCGUUAUCCGGAUUUAUUGGGUUUAAAGGGUGCGCAGGCGGAGGUGCAAGUCAGCGGUAAAAUUUCGGGGCUCAACCCCGUCGUGCCGUUGAAACUGGCGUUCUUGAGUGAGCGAGAAGUAUGCGGAAUGCGUGGUGUAGCGGUGAAAUGCAUAGAUAUCGCGCAGAACUCCGAUUGCGAAGGCAGCAUGCCGGCUCCACAUUGACGCUGAGGCACGAAAGCGUGGGUAUCGAACAGGAUUAGAUACCCUAGUAG
rnacentral:rRNA from 1 species